GAUGAACGCUGGCGGCGUGCCUAAUACAUGCAAGUCGAGCGAACGGACGAGAAGCUUGCUUCUCUGAUGUUAGCGGCGGACGGGUGAGUAACACGUGGAUAACCUACCUAUAAGACUGGGAUAACUUCGGGAAACCGUAGCUAAUACCGGAUAAUAUUUUGAACCGCAUGGUUCAAAAGUGAAAGACGGUCUUGCUGUCACUUAUAGAUGGAUCCGCGCUGCAUUAGCUAGUUGGUAAGGUAACGGCUUACCAAGGCAACGAUGCAUAGCCGACCUGAGAGGGUGAUCGGCCACACUGGAACUGAGACACGGUCCAGACUCCUACGGGAGGCAGCAGUAGGGAAUCUUCCGCAAUGGGCGAAAGCCUGACGGAGCAACGCCGCGUGAGUGAUGAAGGGCUUCGGAUCGUAAAACUCUGUUAUUAGGGAAGAACAUAUGUGUAAGUAACUGUGCACAUCUUGACGGUACCUAAUCAGAAGCCACGGCUAACUACGUG
rnacentral:rRNA from 1 species